rnacentral:snoRNA from 1 species
UUUUGUGCGGUGAUGAAGCAAUUUGUGGACUAGAGUUUCUGAUCAUUUUAGGGGUUUUUUAAAAUCCCUAAAUGAUUGAAGACAAACCCUUGGCUGUCUGAGCAUACUA